AUACAGAAACAAAGCUUUUUCAGGGGUAUCUCAUGUUGUGGAUUGUUUGCACAAGGCUCUGUUUCUCUCAAUGAAUACUGAAAACUUGAUCAGAAAGUGUAGUCAACUUCAAGGCCUCCAAAACAAGGGUAGGAUACACACUGGAAAAGACAUCAGCUUCUGGAUGGUGGAUCUCUCAGGUCCACGUAGGUUGGCAAGUGCAAAAUCCUGAAUCCAAGGAGAAGACAUUGCUUCCAAGGACAAGGACCCCAAGGAUACAGUCCACAACCUGAAGCCGUCAUAGCUAAAUGCCAUUUUGGAUUACAUAUCAGUUGCUAAGAGUCACUUCUUCCUCCCCCUCAGAAAACUGCAUUUAAUACCUGUCAUGGACAUUGUCAUUUUUUCACAUGUAAAGUCAGUUGAAAAAGAAAGACACCAAGAAAGGAACAUUUCUAUUUCAGAGAAAGCAAGGCAACCUUACCCUCGCGUUGACUGGCCUCUCUCCAUCUCCUCUGUCCUUGUGAACUAGAGACUCCUCAGAGGCUAGGAGGACACAGAGCAACAGUUAGUCAUAGAUGCUUUUGUUCAUGAGUUAUUCAGGGAGCUCUGCUUAAUGUGGACAACAGGACAGUGUGUGUGGAUGUGUUUCAUUAAAAGCACAGCUUGAGCUCCUGCUAGAAAAUCUUCCCUCGUGGAAAGACAGGCAAGAACGAGGAGCUAAGGAGCAAGAAAUAGAGUCCCUGGCAUUUUGCUGAUGGCAACUGAAGAAAAUGGGAAUGAGUCAGUCUACAAAUGGUACUGAAGCACAUGCUAUAGUUUGAUGAGAGUCCCACUGCUCACACUGUGAGGUUUGAAACCCAGCUAAAUGGUUUUCUAAACCUGUAAAAACAAUAUUAGCUUGCAGGAUUUAUGUCCCAAGACUACUUUUACCUCUGAGGAUCCACAGUGGCUGUCACUGCAGUUAUGUGUUUUAGCAUUUUGCACUUGAAUACAAGCAAAGUUUAAUAGAUAGAUUGGAUUCAAUUCUAGGCAAAACAGUCUAUGGUAUUUAUUCACUAAUCCUUUGUUAUAACUGCUGAUGGGAGAAUUAGAAGUACUGAAAUUAUAUCCUUUAAAAUUAAUUAAAGCAUAAUUAUUAAUCACACAAUAUUUUUUCAUCCAGGCCUCCUUUUCUUUGUCAUGCAUGCAUAUUAAUUGAGGAUGGAGAAUAUCUACGCUUGUUCAGGCCAGCCAACAUACGACAGUUUACUUCAAGAGAGGAGACACGGGUUGAAUGCUGAAAACACGCACAGCCAAGCCCAGAUGCCAGUCUUGUUAGCUGCCUUCCUUUACCUUCAAGAGUGGGCUGAAGCUUGUCCAAUCUUUCAAGGUUGCUGAAGACUGUAUGAUGGAAGUCAUCUGCAUUGGGAAAGAAAUUAAUGGAGAGAGGAGAAAACUUGAGAAUCCACACUACUCACCCUGCAGGGCCAAGAACUCUGUCUCCCAUGCUUUGCUGUCCUGUCUCAGUAUUUCCUGUGACCACCUCCUUUUUCAACUGAAGACUUUGUACCUGAAGGGGUUCCCAGGUUUUUCACCUCGGCCCUUGUCAGGACUGAUCCUCUCAACUACUGACCAUUUCACCUCCAUUCAUGUCCAUGCCACAUCAGGCUGUGUUGUCUAGAUGGAAUGAAUCCACCCCAAAUGUCCCUUUCUGGAGGAAGCCACCAUUAUGCUGUACCUCCAAGCAUAAUGGUACGUCCACACACACCAGGGCACCUCGCUCAUGCAAGGUGCGUGUCCUCUAACAAAGUUUCACGCUCUAAACCCAGAUAACUUUUCAAACCCAAGUUCUGUUGAUUCCCCUACUUUGAGUGCUCCAUAGAUGCUCAUUUGUCUACUAAACACUGCCCCAGGCAAUUAAAUAUUCCAAAGUGACCAGCAGAAUUUUUAUGUUAAUUCUGACAUUGCGUUGUUAGUACAAGUGUUGUUCCCCCUUCAAAUUUAUGUCUUUGUUACUGAUAAAUGUAACUGAUAAUGCGUUUUUCAGCUAUGUUGCCAAGCAUAUUUAUAUAAAAAUAUACUCAGAUUGUUUUCAGAAUUUGACAAAGAUGAUAGCAACAAUGAUAAUCUUAUUUGUUUUAUACCAAUCUUUAUGUGUUAUUUUCAUCAUUUCUUACAUAUUGGGGCCUACCAUACAUUGUACGGUGAAAUUAGUGCUAUGCAUCAUGGUAGAAAUAUAAAUUGGCAAAAGUAAUUUAGAAAAUAGUUCCCUUG
rnacentral:lncRNA from 1 species